GUCAAAACAGGCUAUAUAAACCACUAUAUGUUUCAUUCAUUUAUGAAUACAUAGGAGUACCAACAGUUAGAGUUUUCGGUAACAAAAUAACUAAAUAUUUAGUUUAGUUGGUAGGUAUAUACUUGAAAGAGUGUUAUGAUUGGACAAUACUUGUGAUAUGUAAUGAACUUAACCAUCCACCUGCUCAACAAUGGAGGGGCAAACAUAUGCAAUGAGAUUAUCUAAUAAUGAAAACCAUUUGGUGGAGGCUAUGGAGCCACAUAACAUUCUUCCAACACUAGAGACCCGAAGGCCGAAAAUGUGGCUACUUUCAAAACCAUGUACAAUGCACGUCAAAAAGCGUAAGCCAACCAAGUUAGAACAACUCUAAUGCAGGUUCUUUUCUCAACCUUGCAUUAUAAUGGAACCAUAGGAACUCAUGUUCAUCAAGUUGGAACAACUCCAAAAGAUGUUAGCCGUCUACAUUUCACUUUCAUCCUCCUCACGUUGGAGUUGGUAUGUGGCUUAUAUAUGAUGGACAAGACUAAGACUGGUCCUUUUUCUUGGGGUAUUGAAAUAACUCGGAAUAAUAAUAAUAAUAACAAAAAAUAAUAAUAUUAAUAAAAAUACUAAUAAUAAAUGAUAUUUAUAAUAGAAAUAAUAAUAAGGAUGUAAGAUAGAUUUUGAAUUAAUAUUCAAAUACCAUUUUUCUUCUCAACCUUACUUGCACUAACCACCACAACCCUGUAUUGAGAAAUUUGUGAUCUCAUCCCCACAUCUCGUUCAACCCUUUAAAAAUUCUGGAAACCAUAACAUAGUCAUGAAACCUUCUACUUCCAUAUCUCUCUCGUUGCCUCCCGAAAUCCCUUUACAUUUAUGUUAAUUGUAUAAGUAGCGAAAGCACUACACCGCCACUAUAACCACUUCUAUGAAGAACCUGCAAGGGAACAUUCUGACCUAGAAACCCCAUUUAUUGCACUUGUAGUAAAUCAUUGAACUCUCGUUUCCGCUAUAUUCUAAAUCUUAGUAAUGGACCAAGAGAAAUCAAAAUAAAAAGUUUUGCACAAGUAAAGUAAUGAAACUCCAUGUUUUGUUAAUUAAUCCAGUUUAACACAUGAAAAAAAAAAGAAAUAAUAAUAAUAAUAAUAAUAAUAAUAAUAAUAAUAACAAUAAUAAUUAAGUUCGUUAGUUUGUAUUUUGUUGAUAUUAAGGCACUGUUUGCAAAGUUGUUCCAUUUGAUGGAGACUAGUUAGUGAAUGGAGAAGGGCAAAAGAAAGCUGAAGAAUUACUUGAGGAAGUUAUGCUUUCCCUGACCCUCAAUGACUUAAGGGGAAAUCAUACUCAAAUUCAUAAUGUUUGUUCUACAUUCAUACAGACGUUAAGUUUAAGGGUAUGUGAUGGUGUUUAUGAUGAUGCGAUGAUUAGAGCGCGGGAAGAAUGGGACAAAAAGCAUUUUCCAGAGAAUGAUCAUCCUACUGAGUUUGCUGAGAAGCAGCGUUUUGUUGUGCUUGUUCAAGAACACGGAGGGCAGGAUCUGGAGAGUUUUGUGCUACUGGACUUUAAUGAAGCACGCAGUUUGCUUGUUCAAGUAUGUUCUUUCAUGGUGACUCUAAACUAUGAAUGAGUUGACCUGGGUUAUGUUUUAUCUCUUAUGGGUCAAAUCCGCUAAAACGAAUUAGUUGAAAGCUUGGUUUAAAAAAGCGCGUCUUAAGCGCGCGUAAGCCCAAAGCAACCCUAGGCACCUUAAGCUUGGUCCCUAAUAAUAUUUGUUCGGCAUCAAUGCUAUUUCUUCGGCA